UACAGAGGUCCCAAGCGUUGUUCGGAUUCAUUGGGCGUAAAGGGUGCGUAGGUGGCGUCGUAAGUCGGGUGUGAAAUCUCGGGGCUUAACUCCGAAACUGCAUUCGAUACUGCGGUGCUUGAGGACUGGAGAGGAGACUGGAAUUUACGGUGUAGCAGUGAAAUGCGUAGAGAUCGUAAGGAAGACCAGUGGCGAAGGCGGGUCUCUGGACAGUUCCUGACACUGAGACACGAAGGCCAGGGGAGCAAACGGG
rnacentral:rRNA from 1 species